CGAAUGUCCGUAAGGACAUGGCGAACUGCUCAGUAACACGUGGACAACCUGCCCUUUGGACAGGGAUACCCCUGGGAAACUGGGACUAAUCCCUGAUAAGUCUCCGUAGCUGGAAUGCUCGGAGACGGAAAGCUCCGGCGCCACAGGAUGGGUCUGCGGCCUAUCAGGGUAGUAGUGGGUGUAGAGUACCUACUAGCCUACGACGGGUACGGGUUGUGAGAGCAAGAGCCCGGAGAUGGAUUCUGAGACACGAAUCCAGGCCCUACGGGGUGCAGCAGGCGCGAAAACUUUACAAUGCGGGACACCGCGAUAAGGGGACCUCGAGUGCUGGCAUACAAUGCUGGCUGUCCAGCUGCCUAAAUAGCAGUUGAUAGCAAGGGCCGGGCAAGACCGGUGCCAGCCGCCGCGGUAACACCGGCGGCUCGAGUGGUAACCGCUAUUAUUGGGUCUAAAGGGUCUGUAGCCUGCAGGUUAAGUCUCUUGGUAAAUCCGGCAGCUCAACUGUCGGGGUUCAGGGGAUACUGGUCUGCUCGGGACCGGGAGAGGUGAGAGGUACCUCAGGGGUAGGGGUGAAAUCUUGUAAUCCUUGAGGGACCACCAGUGGCGAAGGCGUCUCACCAGAACGGGUCCGACGGCAAGGGACGAAAGCUAGGGGCACGAACCGGAUUAGAUACCCGGGUAGUCCUAGCCGUAAACGAUACUCGCUAGGUGUCGGCCACGGUGCGACCGUGGUCGGUGCCGUAGGGAAGCCGUGAAGCGAGCCACCUGGGAAGUACGGCCGCAAGGCUGAAACUUAA
rnacentral:rRNA from 1 species